GCUCCCAUAGCUCAGCUGGUUAGAGCGUGGUGCUAAUAACGCCAAGGUCGUAGGUUCGAUCCCUGCUGGGAGCA
rnacentral:tRNA from 1 species